rnacentral:tRNA from 1 species
AAUAGGGUAAGCUAAGCAAGCUAUUGGGCUCAUAACUCAAAAAUAGAUAUAAUUCUUCCUAUUA